rnacentral:rRNA from 1 species
CGGAUGAGUUGCGAACGGGUGAGUAACGCGUAGGUAACCUGCCUGGUAGCGGGGGAUAACUAUUGGAAACGAUAGCUAAUACCGCAUAACAAUGGAUGACACAUGUCAUUUAUUUGAAAGGGGCAAUUGCUCCACUACCAGAUGGACCUGCGUUGUAUUAGCUAGUUGGUGAGGUAACGGCUCACCAAGGCGACGAUACAUAGCCGACCUGAGAGGGUGAUCGGCCACACUGGGACUGAGACACGGCCCAGACUCCUACGGGAGGCAGCAGUAGGGAAUCUUCGGCAAUGGGGGCAACCCUGACCGAGCAACGCCGCGUGAGUGAAGAAGGUUUUCGGAUCGUAAAGCUCUGUUGUAAGAGAAGAACGAGUGUGAGAGUGGAAAGUUCACACUGUGACGGUAACUUACCAGAAAGGGACGGCUAACUACGUGCCAGCAGCCGCGGUAAUACGUAGGUCCCGAGCGUUGUCCGGAUUUAUUGGGCGUAAAGCGAGCGCAGGCGGUUAGAUAAGUCUGAAGUUAAAGGCUGUGGCUUAACCAUAGUACGCUUUGGAAACUGUUUAACUUGAGUGCAGAAGGGGAGAGUGGAAUUCCAUGUGUAGCGGUGAAAUGCGUAGAUAUAUGGAGGAACACCGGUGGCGAAAGCGGCUCUCUGGUCUGUAACUGACGCUGAGGCUCGAAAGCGUGGGGAGCGAACAGGAUUAGAUACCCUGGUAGUCCACGCCGUAAACGAUGAGUGCUAGGUGUUGGGUCCUUUCCGGGACUCAGUGCCGCAGCUAACGCAUUAAGCACUCCGCCUGGGGAGUACGACCGCAAGGUUGAAACUCAAAGGAAUUGACGGGGGCCCGCACAAGCGGUGGA